GAUGAACGCUGGCGGCGUGCCUAAUACAUGCAAGUCGAGCGAACGGACGAGAAGCUUGCUUUUCUGAUGUUAGCGGCGGACGGGUGAGUAACACGUGGAUAACCUACCUAUAAGACUGGGAUAACUUCGGGAAACCGGAGCUAAUACCGGAUAAUAUUUUGAACCGCAUGGUUCAAAAGUGAAAGACGGUCUUGCUGUCACUUAUAGAUGGAUCCGCGCUGCAUUAGCUAGUUGGUAAGGUAACGGCUUACCAAGGCAACGAUGCAUAGCCGACCUGAGAGGGUGAUCGGCCACACUGGAACUGAGACACGGUCCAGACUCCUACGGGAGGCAGCAGUAGGGAAUCUUCCGCAAUGGGCGAAAGCCUGACGGAGCAACGCCGCGUGAGUGAUGAAGGUCUUCGGAUCGUAAAACUCUGUUAUUAGGGAUGAACAUAUGUGUAAGUAACUGUGCACAUCUUGACGGUACCUAAUCAGAAAGCCACGGCUAACUACGUG
rnacentral:rRNA from 1 species